rnacentral:rRNA from 1 species
GACGAACGCUGGCGGCGUGCUUAACACAUGCAAGUCGAACGGAAAGGCCCUGCUUUUGUGGUGUGCUCGAGUGGCGAACGGGUGAGUAACACGUGAGUAACCUGCCCUUGACUUUGGGAUAACUUCAGGAAACUGGGGCUAAUACCGGAUAGGAGCUCCUGCUGCAUGGUGGGGGGUGGAAAGUUUCGGCGGUUGGGGAUGGACUCGCGGCUUAUCAGCUUGUUGGUGGGGUAGUGGCUUACCAAGGCUUUGACGGGUAGCCGGCCUGAGAGGGUGACCGGCCACAUUGGGACUGAGAUACGGCCCAGACUCCUACGGGAGGCAGCAGUGGGGAAUAUUGCACAAUGGGCGGAAGCCUGAGGCAGCAACGCCGCGUGCGGGAUGACGGCCUUCGGGUUGUAAACCGCUUUCGCCUGUGACGAAGCGUGAGUGACGGUAAUGGGUAAAGAAGCACCGGCUAACUACGUG